AACGAACGCUGGCGGCGUGCUUAACACAUGCAAGUCGAACGCGAAAGGGACUUCGGUCCUGAGUAAAGUGGCGCACGGGUGAGUAACGCGUAGAUAACCUGUCUUCAUGUCUGGAAUAAUACGCCGAAAGGGUUACUAAUACCGGAUAUCUUGCUUUUCAUAAGUUAUGCAAGCAAAGGUGGCCUCUGCAUAUGCUACUGCAUGAAGAGGGGUCUGCGUACCAUUAGCUAGUAGGUGGGGUAAUGGCCUACCUAGGCGACGAUGGUUAGCGGGUCUGAGAGGAUGAUCCGCCACACUGGCACUGGAACACGGGCCAGACUCCUACGGGAGGCAGCAGUGAGGAAUAUUGCGCAAUGGGGGAAACCCUGACGCAGCGACGCCGCGUGAGUGAGGAAAGGCCUUCGGGUCGUAAAGCUCUGUCAAGAGGAAAGAAGUGUACAAUGGCUAAUACCUGUUGUAUUUGACGGUACCUCUAAAGGAAGCACCGGCUAACUCCGUGCCAGCAGCAGC
rnacentral:rRNA from 1 species